rnacentral:tRNA from 1 species
CAAAGUGUAGCUUAAACAAAAGCACCUGGCUUACACCCAGAAGAUUUCAACCAAUUAGACCACUUUGA